AUUGAACGCUGGCGGCAAGCCUAACACAUGCAAGUCGAACGAGUGGCGGACGGGUGAGUAAUGUCUGGGACACUGCCUGAUGGAGGGGGAUAACUACUGGAAACGGUAGCUAAUACCGCAUACCAUCGGAUGUGCCCAGAGGGGAUUGGCUAGUAGGUGGGGUAAAGGCUCACCUAGGCGACGAUCCCUAGCUGGUCUGAGAGGAUGACCGUCCACACUGGAACUGGGACACGGUCCAGACUCCUACGGGAGGAAGCAGUGGGGAAGAUUGCACAAUGGUCGCAAGCCGGAUGCAGCCAUGCCGCGGGUAUGAAGAGGGCCUUCGGGUUGUAAAGUACUUUCAGCGGGGAGGCGUUACCCGCAGAAGAAGCACCGGCUAACUCCGUGCCAGCAGCCGCGGUAAUUC
rnacentral:rRNA from 1 species